rnacentral:rRNA from 1 species
UACGGAGGGGGCUAGCGUUGUUCGGAAUUACUGGGCGUAAAGGGCUCGUAGGCGGCCAACUAAGUCAUACGUGAAAUCCCUCGGCUUAACCGGGGAACUGCGUCUGAUACUGGAUGGCUUGAGAUUGGGAGAGGGAUGCGGAAUUCCAGGUGUAGCGGUGAAAUGCGUAGAUAUCUGGAGGAACACCGGUGGCGAAGGCGGCAUCCUGGACCAACACUGACGCUGAGGAGCGAAAGCCAGGGGAGCAAACGGG